rnacentral:rRNA from 1 species
GAUGAACGCUAGCUACAGGCUUAACACAUGCAAGUCGAGGGGCAGCAUGAACAUAGCUUGCUAUGUUUGAUGGCGACCGGCGCACGGGUGCGUAACACGUAUCCAAUCUGCCCGUUACUCGGGGAUAGCCUUCUGAAAGGAAGAUUAAUACCCGAUAGUAUUCAUUAGCGGCAUCGCUUAUGAAUUAAAGAUUUAUUGGUAACGGAUGAGGAUGCGUACGAUUAGCUGGUUGGCGGGGUAACGGCCACCAAGGCCACGAUCGUUAGGGGUUCUGAGAGAAAGGGCCCCCACACUGGAACUGAGACACGGUCCAGACUCCUACGAGAGGCAGCAGUGAGGAAUAGUGGUCAAUGGGCGAGAGCCUGAACCAGCCAAGUAGCGUGAAGGAUGACUGCCCUACGGGUUGUAAACUUCUUUUGUUUGGGAAUAAAAGACGCUACGUGUAGCGUUCUGCAUGUACCUUACGAAUAAGCAUCGGCUAAUUCCGUGCCAGCAGCCGCCGUAACAC